AAAAAAUUAAAGGUAAAUCCUGCCCUAUGAUUAUUUAAAUGGCUGCAGUAUUUUGACUGUGCAAAGGUAGCAUAAUAAUUAGUCUUUUAAUUGAAGGCUUGUAUGAAAGGUUAUAUGAAAGAUAUUUUUUAUUUAUUUUAUUUUUUGAAUUUGAUUAUUAAGUAAAAAAGCUUAUUUUUAUAUUUGGGACGAAAAGACCCUAUAGAACUUUAUAUAUUACUUAUUAUUUUUUUUUUGUUGAUUAAUAUUAAUUAUUUUUGUUAAUUUGUUUUGUUGGGGCGGUAGAUAAAUUUUAACUUUAUUUUUUUUUUUCAUUAAUUUAUGUUUUUUUGAUCCAUUUUUGAUUAUAAGAUUUAGUUACCUUAGGGAUAACAGCGUAAUUCUAAUGGGGAGUUCAUAUUUAUAUUGGAGUUUGCGACCUCGAUGUUGAAUUAAGAUAAGAGUGAGGGGAA
rnacentral:rRNA from 1 species